rnacentral:rRNA from 1 species
AUGAGGAAACCAUGGGCUCAUGGUUAUGCUAUUCUAAUCCAUACAAGUGCUAUGCCUCAAGAUGAACGAGGACACGCUCUGUUGAAUGCAUUUGAGCUGUUGAUGCAUGGCAUGACAGAAGAUCUGAAGUUUGGUCAGGCGGAUGGGGUAAUGAUGCGCAGCCUGGUGCUGACACAAUAUUAUUAUUACGGUGAUAGCGAGUUCAAUCCAGAUGACCCUGAAAAGCAGCUGGUUUACUGCAGAAAUUCAGAAUGUCAUGUUUUGUCAUACCUAAGGAAGCUUAAGAAGAUGGGUCUCAUAUAUACAAGGAAGAUCAUCAGAGGCUAA